UUUCCUCCUCGGCCCGUUGGGAUCUCAGCAUCCCCCCCCCAAGGCAUCUAGAGGGCACCGAUCCCGGCGGACCGCCCGUCGGGGCAUCGGCGAGGUCCCUUUUCCUUUUCUGCAGCUGUCCGGCGGAGAGGAGCCGCGCGCAAGAAGCGCCACCGCCGCCGCCGCCCUCCGCGCGCCUCGCCUGCCCGUUGCCUUGCCAGCCUGCCAACCUUGCCAGCCUCGGGCGGCGGCAUGGCCAAGAACACGUCGCUCCACUUCCGCGUGGUGGAGGGAAAGGACCUGCCGGCCAAGGACGUAUCCGGCACAAGUGACCCUUAUUGUAUCAUCAAAGUGGACAAUGAAGUGGUGGCCAGGACGGCCACAGUAUGGAAGAAUCUGAACCCUUUUUGGGGGGAGGAAUUCACCCUGCACCUCCCGACGGGAUUCCACCACCUCUCUUUCUACGUUCUGGAUGAGGACACUAUAGGGCAUGACGAUGUGAUUGGUAAAAUCACCCUCAGCAAGGAAGCCAUCUCGUCCCAUCCACGGGGAAUCGACAGCUGGAUCAACCUGAACCGUGUCAAUCCCGAUGAGGAGGUGCAAGGGGAGAUCUCUCUCGAGUUACAGGUGGUGGAGGAAGCCCACAAGGGGGCGCUUUGCUGCCAUGUCAUUGAAGCCAGGGACCUUGCACCACGGGACAUCUCUGGCACCUCAGACCCCUUUGUCCGUGUCCUUUGGAAUGGGCAGGUCCUGGAAACAGCUAUUAUCAAGAAGACCCGCUUCCCCCACUGGAAUGAGCUGCUGGAGUUCGUCCUGGAGGAGGGGACUUCUGGUGAAACUCCUCUGGUAGUGGAAGUGUGGGACUGGGACAUGGUGGGCAAGAAUGACUUCCUAGGACGGGUUGUGUUCUCUUUGGAUGCCUUCCAGAAAGCCCCUCUCAAAGGCUGGUACCGCCUGCUGCCUUUUCCUAAGGAAGAGGAGGAUGCUGGGGGGAAGCUGGGGGCCCUGAGGCUCCGGGUUCGGCUGGCUGAGGAAAGGAUCCUACCUUCCAGGUACUACCAGCCCCUCGUAGACCUGCUGGUGGAGUCAGUCGUCUGCCCUCCAGAGGAGGAGAAUGUCACACCCGUGGCCCUCCUGGAAGAAGUGUGCUCAGUGGAGAGUCGCCAAGAUGUGGCCACCAGAUUAGUCAAGAUCUUCCUUGGGCAAGGCCUUGUUGUGCCCUUCUUGGACUACCUCAACCUCCGGGAGAUUUCUAGAACGACGGAUCCAAACACCCUCUUCCGCUCAAACUCCUUGGCCUCGAAAUCUAUGGAGCAGUUCAUGAAGGUGGUGGGAAUGCCCUACCUGCAUGAAGUAUUGAAGUCCAUCAUUAACCGGAUCUUUGAGGAGAAGAAGUACGUGGAGCUGGAUCCGUGCAAGAUUGAACCCAGCCGGACCAGGCGGAUCUCCUUCAAGGGGUCCCUCUCUGAGGCCCAGAUCCGAGAGAGCAGCUUGGAGGUGCUGAAGGGCUACCUGCGGGACAUCAUGGAGGCCAUUGUGGGCUCAACGAAGGAGUGCCCAGCCGCUAUGAGAGUGGCCUUCAAGCGGCUGCAUAAGCGUGUGGCCGACCGCUUUCCGGAAGCCGAGAACCAGGAUGCCAAAUACCUCGCCAUCAGCGGCUUCCUUUUCCUCCGUUUCUUUGCUCCGGCCAUCCUGACUCCGAAGCUGUUCAACCUCCGAGACCAGCAUGCAGGCACGCAGACUAGCCGGACCCUCUUGCUCUUGGCCAAGGCGGUACAGAGUAUUGGCAACCUGGGCCUCCAGGUUGGGCAUGGCAAGGAACAGUGGAUGGAGCCCUUGCACCCCUUCAUCCUGUCCAGCAUCGGACGAGUCAAAGAGUUCCUGGACCAGCUCAUCGAGGUGGACUGUGAGGACGAGGCCAACAAGAAGCAGUCAUGGACGCUUGUCCACCCGUCGGCCACCAUCAAAGAGGGCUACCUCCACAAGCACAAGGCUGACGGUCUCCACUUGGUCUCCCGCUUCACUUUCAAGAAACGCUAUUUCUGGCUCAACAACAAGAGCUUCUCCUACUCCAAAUCUCCGGAGUGGCAGGCCCGUACAUCUAUCCCUGUUCAGCAGAUCUGUGCUGUAGAGCGUGUUGACGAGAAUGCUUUCCAGCAGCCACACAUCAUGCAGAUAACAACGCGCGACAACGGAAGUCAGCUGCUCACCAUGUACAUUCAGUGUAAGAACGUCAACGAACUCAACCAGUGGCUCUCGGCCAUCCGGAAAGUGACCGUCUCUAAUGAGCGCAUGCUUCCCUUUUGCCACCCCGGCGCCUUCCGUGGCAAUCGGUGGACUUGCUGCUUGCAGACGAACCGCACGGCUCGUGGCUGCAGCCGCACGCACUCUGCGGUGACCCUUGGCGACUGGAGCGACCCUUUGGAUCCUGAUGUGGAGACCCAGAUGGUGUACAGGCAGCUUCUGCUGGGCAGAGACAAGCUGAGGGAGAAGCAUCAGGAGUUUGUGAAGAAAGAGCCUACCCAGGAGCAAGGGAGUGGAGCACAAAAAGGUUCAGAUGCAAACAGCCAAAGGACAGCCAUGGCUGCCCGCCUUUUAGAAGUCAUCCAGGCCCUCGAGCAGGCUCAUGAUGCCUUUGAACACCAAGAAGAAGAGGAAGAAGAAGAGAAGGCUCAGAUCAGCAUCACGCCCCCACCUUAGGCGGCUUCCUGCAUCCAUUUGACACCCCUCCCCGUGGUGUUUUCUUCAUAUUGUCAUGGAUGUGAUCUGUCAGGGCAUGGUGGGUUAAGAGCCGGGAUCUGUCCCCUUGUGUUUUGACGAGUUGUGUGGCUUUGCAGAUUGUAGCAGACGGUGGCCAUGCUCGGCCCUUGGCUUUCGAAGGACGGAGAGACUGUGGCACAAAUGGCAGGCGCCUUUCGUCUCUUGGUGGCCACGUCCAGCUGACGUCUAGCUUGGAUCUGCCAUUAGAAGACAUUCCAGGAGAAAAGGAAGUGUAUCUUCAUGGACCAUGCUCUUCUUAAGCCCAGAGUGCAUUCCCAUGGAAUGUGUGCUUCUCCCCAUUGCCAAUUUCGAGAGCGCCACCUUCUGUCUUGCCCCACUGGCCGUGACACAGAAAGACCAUCCCACGUCAGAGCGCAGUCAAGAGUAGAGAUUAGAAUCUGGGCUAGUUCUGAACACACAGUGGAGCAGCUGCGUCUGCUUAUCUGCCUGGCCCUUGUGCCGUGGACGGACAAAGUGCCACUGCAGCCUGCUUUGAGACUCGGGUGCUAAUGACCGGGACACCAUCACCACCAACACCGGGCAGUUGCUUCUAAUAGGAGAUGUUGUGGUCCACCAGGGCCGUUCUCCUGUCUUUUCCUCCUGAGCACCCCUGUGUUCCUUUCUCCUUGAGUACAGAGCAAUGAAAUGCAAUAUAACCAGUGGUAGCACAGCAGGGUUGAUUUGGGGGCUUGUAUCCCCCAAAAUCUAGUGUUUCUGACCUCUGGUCCUCUGUAGCCCAAAUUGGCCUCAAUUGGUGGUGAGUGCUUCCAUUCAGCCCUGUCUCAGUGAAAGGCGUACAGAAGAUUGUAGGUUCAAUCUUUGCAAGCGGAAGAUUGUAGGUUCAAUCUUUGCAAGCGGAAGAUUGUAGGUUCAAUCUUUGCAAGCGGAAGAUUGUAGGUUCAAUCUUUGCAAGCGGAAGAUUGUAGGUUCAAUCUUUGCAAGCGGAAGAUUGUAGGUUCAAUCUUUGCAAGCGGAAGAUUGUAGGUUCAAUCUUUGCAAGCGGAAGAUUGUAGGUUCAAUCUUUGCAAGCGGAAGAUUGUAGGUUCAAUCUUUGCAAGCGGAAGAUUGUAGGUUCAAUCUUUGCAAGCGGAAGAUUGUAGGUUCAAUCUUUGCAAGCGGAAGAUUGUAGGUUCAAUCUUUGCAAGCGGAAGAUUGUAGGUUCAAUCUUUGCAAGCGGAAGAUUGUAGGUUCAAUCUUUGCAAGCGGAAGAUUGUAGGUUCAAUCUUUGCAAGCGGAAGAUUGUAGGUUCAAUCUUUGCAAGCGGAAGAUUGUAGGUUCAAUCUUUGCAAGCGGAAGAUUGUAGGUUCAAUCUUUGCAAGCGGAAGAUUGUAGGUUCAAUCUUUGCAAGCGGAAGAUUGUAGGUUCAAUCUUUGCAAGCGGAAGAUUGUAGGUUCAAUCUUUGCAAGCGGAAGAUUGUAGGUUCAAUCUUUGCAAGCGGAAGAUUGUAGGUUCAAUCUUUGCAAGCGGAAGAUUGUAGGUUCAAUCUUUGCAAGCGGAAGAUUGUAGGUUCAAUCUUUGCAAGCGGAAGAUUGUAGGUUCAGUCUUUGCAAGCGGAAGAUUGUAGGUUCAAUCUUUGCAAGCGGAGGAUUGUAGGUUCAAUCUUUGCAAGCGGAAGAUUGUAGGUUCAAUCUUUGCAAGUGGAAGAUUGUAGGUUCAAUCUUCAGCAUUUUCAAGUAUGGCUCAGAAAAUUAUGUGCUUGAAACCAUGUCAAGCCAAUGCUGCCGAGGGAUGGGAUUUUCAGAUUUUCUGGACUGCAAAUGCCAUUAUUGCUCAUUCUGGGAGUUCUACCUAUCUUGCAGACACCUUAGAAACACCUAAAUGUGAUGCCCUUUAGAAGGCCUGGUUUUGAGGCUGUCCUAGGACUACUUCCACCCAAACUUCUUGUUGCUUCCCCACUACUCGCUGGGAGCUUCCUUUCUGAAGAGGAAGCUAGAUGGAAUUAAGCCCAGCUAAACCUCUGAGCCUCGUAAUUUAGGUCUUUCCUCCACGUGAGCCAUGCGUAGGUGUUUGUAUGGUGCCUGCAAGUUAGGCAGAACU